CCCUACCCGACGCUCUACCUAUCUCAUAAUCGUGGUAUACAAUUAUUGUGUAUUAUUAUGCUUGGCAAACAGGAUUCGCAACCAUAUAUUGCGAUAUCUCACUGUCAAACAUGUCGAAUCUUUAGUAAUAAUGGCAAUAAUAAUAAUAAUAAUGCGUGCGUGUGUGUAUGCUAUAACAUAGUAUUUACUAUACAACAGAUGUGCUUUGAAAUAAUAUUAUU